UACGGGCAGCCCAAGUGGUAUCCACGAAUACUGGGCUUAAAGCGUUCGUAGCCGGUCCGGUAAGUCUCCAGUGAAAGCCCACGGCUCAACCGUGGGAAGUGCUGGAGAUACUGCCGGACUUGGAGGCGGGAGAGGUCAGAGGUAUUCCAGGGGUAGCGGUUAAAUGUUAUAAUCCUUGGAGGACCAUCGGUAGCGAAGGCGUCUGACUAGAACGCGCUCGACGGUGAGGAACGAAGGCUAGGGGAGCGACCCGGAUUAGAUACCCCCGUA
rnacentral:rRNA from 1 species